rnacentral:rRNA from 1 species
UGGGGAAUUUUGGACAAUGGGCGCAAGCCUGAUCCAGCCAUACCGCGUGAGUGAAGAAGGCCUUCGGGUUGUAAAGCUCUUUCAGACGGAAAGAAACGGUUACGGCUAAUACCCGUGACUAAUGACGGUACCGUAAGAAGAAGCACCGGCUAACUACGUGCCAGCAGCCGCGGUAAUACGUAGGGUGCGAGCGUUAAUCGGAAUUACCGGGCGUAAAGCGUGCGCAGGCGGUUUGGUAAGACAGAUGUGAAAUCCCCGGGCUCAACCUGGGAAUGGCAUUUGUGACUGUAGAGCUAGAGUACGGUAGAGGGGGAUGGAAUUCCGCGUGUAGCAGUGAAAUGCGUAGAUAUGCGGAGGAACACCGAUGGCGAAGGCAAUCCCCUGGACCUGUACUGACGCUCAUGCACGAAAGCGUGGGGAGCAAACAGGAUUAGAUACCCCGGUAGUCCCUGAGCGGGCUGGCAAGGCGCAU